rnacentral:lncRNA from 1 species
UCCUGCCUGGAAUGUCACCCCCAGCAUCCUUCCCCACCUUACUCCAAGACUUGAAGACAUGUUCAUCUCAGGCUCAAGGUGGAAGUACCCAGAGAUGAGGUCACUGUCCCUCCAGGUGAUGGGAACUUGCCAGUAAGGACUCCCCAGCAGAACAAAACAAAUGUUCCCUCUCCCCUUGCUCCUCAAGUUCCUACUAAAAGGACUGCCAACCUUCUCACCACUACCCCCAGCCACUCCCCUGGGCCCCUCAGCAGCUCUGGCCCCCCAAGGAGGCCUCUCCCUGGGAAUCUCUGUCAGGGCUCUGCUGCUGCCACCACCAGAAAAACCAGCUCUGGCUCCAGGCCAACAAUCUCCACCCGAGAGCUGGAGUAUGUGGGCGAGUUUGGGGUGAGAAAGGACCUAGGAGGGAUGCACCGAAGCUCACCAUCCAGGACAGCAGCCAGACCCAGUGACCCUUCCAACACCCCAGCACCCCACUUCAGCCAGGCCUGGACCAGACAUGAAACAUUCCAGGUUCCUAGGAGCUAUUAAGGAGAGUCUACACACAGAAGAGCCAGAAUGGGGGUGGUAGUGGAGGUAGGACCAUCUGAUCCUCAGGCUAGGAGCCUCCAGCCCCCAGAGCAACCUCAGCUCUGUGCAGGUUGUAGCUGGAGCAGCAGCAGAGUGGCCUCCUACCAGGUGCCUGGGGCAAUCUGGAGCCAGGCUUCCUCCCUUACUGCCAGGCAUUGCAUGAGGUCUAACUAGAAGGGGGUCUCCUGUCCCCUUCCCUGGGCUUCUCUUCGUAAGAACAGUUUUGCCGUCAUGGAAAAGCCAGGUUGUACCCAGUGUGCACUGAAAUGUACUAUUCUUCAAUGAACUUAGAGUGAGAACACCAA